UACAGAGGUCUCAAGCGUUGUUCGGAUUCAUUGGGCGUAAAGGGCGCGUAGGUGGCAUGGUAAGUCCGCUGUGAAAGUCGGGGGCUCAACCCUCGGAUGCCGGUGGAUACUGUCGGGCUCGAGUACGGAAGAGGCGAGUGGAAUUCCUGGUGUAGCGGUGAAAUGCGCAGAUAUCAGGAGGAACACCGGUGGCGAAGGCGGUUCUCUGGGCAUGUCCUGACGCUGAGGAGCGAAAGUGUGGGGAGCGAACAGG
rnacentral:rRNA from 1 species